rnacentral:lncRNA from 1 species
UUUUGAAUUCACUUUGAGCUGACGGUUUUGUCCAAGGUGUUGGAUGAAGAGCACUUGAAAAUAAACUGCGGUCGCUUGCCCCAGCAUUGAAGCUCAGCUCUCAGAACAUGUCAUCUGGAGGCUGGUUUCAGGAUCCUUGAAUGAGUACGGUGCUCAAGUAUUGCUGAGCUGCAGUCCUGGUUACUACUUAGAAGGCUGGAGGCUCCUGCGGUGCCAGGCCAAUGGGACGUGGAACAUAGGAGAUGAGAGGCCAAGCUGUCGAGUUAUCUCGUGUGGAAGCCUUUCCUUUCCCCCAAAUGGCAACAAGAUUGGAACGUUGACAGUUUAUGGGGCCACAGCUAUAUUUACGUGCAACACCGGCUACACGCUUGUGGGGUCUCAUGUCAGAGAGUGCUUGGCAAAUGGGCUCUGGAGCGGCAGCGAAACUCGAUGUCUGGCUGGCCACUGCGGUUCCCCAGACCCGAUUGUGAACGGUCACAUUAGUGGAGAUGGCUUCAGUUACAGAGACACGGUGGUUUACCAGUGCAAUCCUGGUUUCCGGCUUGUGGGAACUUCCGUGAGGAUAUGCCUGCAAGACCACAAGUGGUCUG